GAUACAGGUAAAUGCUUUUCUUAGACUAGCUAGUUACAACAGAAAGUUUAUGCACAGUUUUAUGAUUACUGCUGCUCACAAGAAAAAAGUUCCAUUUAAUGAGCUAUAACAUAUUCUUUGUUCUGAGUCUAUGUCAUAAAGCCUGAUUUUACCAAGGAGUUCACUCAUCAGAUGACAGUUUGGGGGCAGUUCUAUUUCACAUUAAAACACAAUCUAAAAGUGAAGCGGUAUCAUACAAGUUUCAGAUUACAGUCUGAGACAUAAAAAUGUAUGAAUUUCAUAUAAGUCUUGUGUAGUCUGGUUAUGGCUAUAGGCUAACUGAUACAUCUCUUUUGAUUAGGUUUCCUCUUACUUGGUAUGCAUAUUUUAUUUUUAUUUUAUUUUAUUUUUUAUUUGGUAACCAGGGUAGAACAGUGAUCCUAUUGGACCCAUUUCAGCCUGAGCCCAGUACAUCUUAACAGAGCAAGAGUAUAAUGCUUUUAGUUAUUCAUUAUUCAGUGUACUCUUUAAAAUAUGUUGCUUACUUAGAUAAAGUGUGACCCACAGCACAGUGUUGUUCCUCACGCCUAAGCAGCAGAGAUAGAAACAGGACCCCAGAAUGCUCUUUCACCCGUUUCUUAAUCAACAUACUCUGGGUUUAUCAGUUCAACUAGAAUACUUAUCAAAGUAAAAUGCUACUAUUGUACCAUUAAUAGUGUUUAUGUUGUAUUCAUUGUCUGUAGACCUGCCAUUCCCAGUUAAAAACUACACAACUCGACAACAAACUAAAAUAUAAAGUAGCAGGAGCAGCCCAAUGGCACAGGGAGAAAGUUUCCAUCCAUGCCACUGGUGGUCCAAGUUCAGGAAUGGAGUUAAAUAGAUAGACAGACAGUUGUUUGGUUGUGGGAGUGCAAGAUGAGUACUUUUCCACCCUGGGAGAUGGUGCAGGCAGACCCCUCUUAAUGGGAAGUAGCUGAGUGAAGGCCAAAGUACUUACCCCACAUCAAUACACAAUGUACCAGAACAGCAGGUAGCAGGUGGUUUAGAAGGCAUGUACACAAUGUACCAGAACAGCAGGUAGCAGGUGUUUUAGAAGGCAUGUACACAAUGUACCAGAACAGCAGGUAGCAGGUGUUUUAGAAGGCAUGUACACAAUGUACCAGAACAGCAGGUAGCAGGUGGUUUAGAAGGCAUGUACACAAUGUACCAGAACAGCAGGUAGCAGGUGGUUUAGAAGGCAUGUACACAAUGUACCAGAACAGCAGGUAGCAGGUGUUUUAGAAGGCAUGUACACAAUGUACCAGAACAGCAGGUAGCAGGUGGUUUAGAAGGCAUGUACACAAUGUACCAGAACAGCAGGUAGCAGGUGGUUUAGAAGGCAUGUACACAAUGUACCAGAACAGCAGGUAGCAGGUGGUUUAGAAGGCAUGUACACAAUGUACCAGAACAGCAGGUAGCAGGUGUUUUAGAAGGCAUGUACACAAGUGUCAGCAUUGCUGUGAUGCCACUGCUCAGCUUCAAAGCAAGAAGAAAAUGGCAUGCUGGGAUCUCGGAGAUAAUCUUUUUGAAUGCACAGUGGCAGCUAGGAGGGGUGGAGUUGUACACUGUGCACACAUUAAAGAGGGUUUAGAAGAAAUGUGGCAAGUGACAACAAACCAGAAGUUUCAAUGGCAUAUGGCUUCUUAGCAGAAGCAGUUUAAAAUUGAAAUAUGAAAUAUUAAGUGCUCUUUGAAAGAAAGAGUUGCAACUAUUUUUUCUUUAGUGGAAGACUAUUUUGAAAAAAAAUUGAAAUUGAACUUACUUCUGGUUACCGUACCAUAACAUAAUAGAUGAACCUGCCACCUGAUUUGAUGUUUCUGGAAAAGAUAAUUACCUUCUAAGAUCAAAAGUAAAUAUUAGAAAAAUAAUCUAUACAACAUGUUCAACCUCAGUGCAUAGUAUAUGACUGACAAAGGCAUGAAACUAUACAUGACAUUUUCUAAAUUCUUCAUGACAUUUACUUAAUUCCUUAAUGUUCUUAUUUGGUUACUGAAUUUUGUUAUGUUGACAUACAGAAUGCCAAACAGCUGCCAAAAGAAUGGAACUACAGACAUUACAUGAGAAUGGUGUAGCAGCCAUUGUACAAAAAUGGAGCCAUUACACGAGAAUGGUGUACCAGCCAUUACACAAGAAUUGUGCAACAGCCAUUACCCAAGCAUGAUGCAACAGCCAUUACACAUGAAUGGUGCAACAGCCAUUAAAUGGAAAUGGUGGAAAAAUGUUAAAACCAUAUUAUGGCAAAUUAAAUUCAAUACUUUGUCUUCAGUUAAUCAGGGAAAUAAAUCCUACAUGCAUUCCUUAUCUAAAAAAUCAUAUAAACAUGUGCUGCUACUAAAAUAUAAGAAAUCAGUACUCCAAAUAUAUCCAAAAUAAUUCAGACAAAACUGCAGUACAUGUAAGACAUGCAGUAAUUUUUCCUUGCAAAAAUACCCAUUAGGUUACAUAUGAAAAUGUUCAGCAUUUUAGUGCAACUCUUUACUUCUAUUGGAACUAUAACAGUAAAGCAGACAAAAAAAGAAUGUGGUUAACAUAAAUAAAUAAAUAAAGCACAAAAGUACAGGUGUAAUUGGGGGCAAACAAUUUGUACAUCCUGAAUUGUAGAUGGUACUCUUAUUUUUAUUGUCAUCAUUACUAAUCAUUAUCAAGUUAACACUUUAAAUCUAGGGUCAGUUAAAUUUGAGUUUGAUGGUACAUAAUACAGAAAC